UCAGGGGGCCGUUUCAUCAAUAAUUACGUAUUUUUAUACGAUCGUAAAUUAUGUAUCGAGAUUAAUGUAGUCGUUUACGAUUUUACAUAAACUCCGUUUCAUCAACGAAAUCGUAAAUGCAACAUACAUAAAAUACGACUACUUAAAUAUACGUAUUUUGUAACCGAAAAAAAUAGUGACACAGUCUGAAAAAUUGCAUGACGUAAUUUUCGCGCGUUCUGUCAGCUAAGGCAAACAUUGCACAAAAAACAUACUCCUAUAAAUAUGAGGUCGAUUUACGUCUAAUUAUUUGGACUAACAAAAACAAUGCUAGUUGUGAAUCGAAACAAAAACAAACACUGGAAAACGACGUGUAGACCGGAGUGGAAGGCUACCGAUUGCUGUUUGGCCGACACUCUCCUUCCGUUACUAAACGCAAAAAGAAGUUAUUUUGGAUGGAGACGGUUGAAAUAAAACAAAAUGUUAUUACUGGCUGAAGGACCAAAAUUGAAUGGACAGAGAACACGGUUGUCAAAACUCAAACAGAAGUUGUGUCACUCAGCUACAUUAAAACAUAAAACUGAAGGCAGAAGCAACAAAUACAACAUGUGAAGAAUGAAGCAACAGCGUAAUAAAACUCGGGAGAU